rnacentral:rRNA from 1 species
CCCUUAGAUGUUCUGGGCCGCACGCGUGCUACACUGAGUGGAUCAGCGGGUCAGGUUACGCGAGAGCGUUUCCUAAUCUUCAAAUCCGCUCGUGAUGGGGAUUGACGGUUGCAAUUUUCCGUCAUGAACGAGGAAUACCUUGUAAGCGCGGGUCAUCAUCCCGCGCUGAAUACGUCCCUGCCCUUUGUACACACCGCCCGUCGCUCCUACCGAUUGAGUGGUCCGGUGAGGCUUUGGGAUCUAAGCGAAAAGAGCGUUUCGCUCCUUUUGCUGGGAGAACUCAGUCGAACCUUAUCAUUUAGAGGAGGGAGAAGUCGUAACA